rnacentral:rRNA from 1 species
UACGUAGGGUGCGAGCGUUAAUCGGAAUUACUGGGCGUAAAGCGUGCGCAGGCGGCUUUGCAAGACAGAUGUGAAAUCCCCGGGCUCAACCUGGGAACUGCAUUUGUGACUGCAUCGCUGGAGUGCGGCAGAGGGGGAUGGAAUUCCGCGUGUAGCAGUGAAAUGCGUAGAUAUGCGGAGGAACACCGGUGGCGAAGGCGGCAUCCUGGACCAUUACUGACGCUGAGUGAGCGAAAGCCAGGGGAGCAAACGGG